rnacentral:rRNA from 1 species
UACGUAGGGACCAAGCGUUGGUCGGAUUUACUGGGCGUAAAGGGCGCGUAGGCGGCGCGGUAAGUCACUUGUGAAAUCUCUGAGCUUAACUCAGAACGGCCAAGUGAUACUGCAGUGCUAGAGUGCAGAAAGGGCAAUCGGAAUUCUUGGUGUAGCGGUGAAAUGCGUAGAUAUCAAGAGGAACACCUGAGGCGAAGGCGGGUUGCUAGGCUGACACUGACGCUGAGUGCGCGAAAGCCAGGGGAGCAAACGGG